AAGCAGCCCCACCUUCGCCUUGUGGGGGAGAGAGUGGAAGAAAGAAGUUCCCCUUUGCUUCGGAAUAAAACUCAUUCUAUUGGCUCAACUAACACGGGGGAGGGGGGGCGCAGAAGGACCCUUGCUGGAGACGGACUCUAGAAGGGUGAAUUUCACAAGGAGACAAGAAGAGGGUUGCAUGUUGGUUGCUGAAGAAGAUACAAAAGCCGAGGAAUUCUGACAGUGGCCUCUGGAUCCAAGGCACCCACAAAGAAAAAGGACUUUGUGAUAAAAUCAAGAGCUCAGGGCUUCAAUCACUUUUUCUGAUCACUGAAGACUGGGAGGUGUCGAGAUGAGAUUGUCAGAUGGUCAGACUCUGCGGGACCCAGUCAAGAGAUGAAGCUUCAUCUACCCCCACCCCUCCGCCAAGGCAUCAACAAAGCAGAAGGAAGUGGUGAGAGGUGGGGUUUCUUGGCGUUCCACUUUCCCUUUCCCCUCCCUGUAUGUCUGAGGGGCUGAACACAAAGCCAAGUUAUUGCCCCUACCCUGUAGCAAAAAAGGAGUGUGUCAACCCUCAGCUUUCCCCCUCGCUGAUGUCAGUGGGGACCAGUGGGGUGCUGAGCUUCCAUCCACACUAGGAGGCAGUGAGACAUCAUGAGUCAGUGCCCUGUUUUCACUGGGAAGGUGUCAGUGGAGCCAAGGGGGGAGCUGAACUUCCACACCACACGUCCAUAAUAGAGCAGUGGGAGUCACUGCUUACUUUUGCUGGGGUAGUAUCAUCAUGGACCAGAGGGAAGCAGAACAGAUGCACCACUCAGCCCUCCUUCUACUCAACAACCAGAGGACUGCCUGUUUAAAAAAAAAAAAAAAGGAAUUAAUAGGAUCCAGAAUCUACUGUUAUAAUAUCCAAAAUGUUCAGGAUAUAAUCAAAAAGUCACUCAUCAUACCCAGAACCAGGAAAAUCACAACAUGAAUGAGAACAGACAAUCCACAGACACUAACAUGGAGAUGAAUCAGAUGAUGGAAUUGUCUGACAAGAAUUUUAAGGCACCCAUCAUAAAGAUGCUUCAACAGGCAAUUUACAAGUUGUCUUCAAACAAAUGAAAAAAUAUAGAAAAUCUCAGCAAAGAAAUACAAGUUAUAUGAGAGAACCAAACAGAGAUUAUAGAACUGAAAAAUACAAUAAUAAAAAGAGUAGAGAUAACAAAAGAUAAAAUUCUGGGAAUUUGAGUAUACAUCAAUGGAAUCUCCCCAUCUGAACACAGGAGAAAAAAAUUAACCAUCUCAGGGACUGAUGGGAUUUAAAAAAAAAAAA